rnacentral:rRNA from 1 species
CGACUCUUUCACCAGUCGGGUAUACCUCUCUCCUCUCUCUCGUGUUAUGAUUUAGAAUAAAGGAUUUUAACCCAGCGGCCGAUUUGAGUCAUUUCUUCGUCUGGUAGCUCCCUAGGACCAUCACUUGCAACGAAUGGAGUGGGGUGGCUAAAGAUCUUCCUGCUCGUUGUCACCAUCAAUCUCCAUAUGUGAAGUUAGUUCCUUUUGAAUCUGUGGACAGUGGUAGGAAGUUUUUGGCACGUGCAGAGAAGUAUGCAUAAAAUGGCAGAAGCAGGUCUUUCCAGGCAUAGAGAUUGAUACUAGCCAGCCGCCUAUGGUUUUCAAGACCCAGUUGUACACACUGACUGGUGUACCCCCGGAACGGCAAAAAAUUAUGGUGAAGGGUGGAAUAUUGAAGGAUGAGACAGAUUGGUCUACUUUGGGACUUAAAGAUGGUCAAAAGUUGAUGAUGAUAGGUACGGCUGAUGAAAUUGUGAAAGCUCCAGAGAAAGGCCCUGUGUUUGUUGAAGAUUUACCAGAAGAAGAGCAAGCGGCUGCAUUGGGGCAUACUGCUGGUCUCUAUAACUUGGGGAAUACAUGUUACAUGAAUUCCACUCUUCAGUGUCUGCAUUCUGUUCCAGAGCUUAAGUCAGCAUUACUGAGUUAUUCAGAUAACGUGAGGGGCAAUGGGGUGGAUCAAGCAUCCCAUAGUUUAACAGUUGCAACUCGUAAUACUUUCGGAGAGCUUGAUCAAAGCGUUCGACCAGUUGCACCUCUUCACUUCUUACAGAUGCUGCGGAAAAAAUACCCCCAAUUUGCUCAACAGCAAAAUAAUGUUUACAUGCAGCAGGACGCAGAGGAGUGCUGGACACAGCUGAUCUAUACGCUUUCUCAAACACUUACAUCAGAAGCAAGUGAACCUACUGCUGCUCAGAUGAAGGAACUUUUCGGGAUUGAUCUUGUGAGCAGGGUACACUGUGCAGAAAGUGGUGAGGAGAGUUCAGAGGCAGAGUCGGUUUAUUCUCUGAAGUGCCAUAUAUCUCAUGAUGUAAACCACCUUCAUGAAGGACUGAAGCAUGGUUUGAAGACAGAACUUGAGAAGGUUUCCCCAUCACUGGGCCGGACUGCUAUUUACACAAGAGAGUCGAGAAUAAAUGAGUUGCCUAGGUACUUGACUGUGCAGUUUGUUCGUUUCUUUUGGAAAAGGGAGUCAAACCAAAAGGCGAAGAUUUUACGUAAAGUGGAUUACCCUCUGGAGCUUGAUGUCUAUGACUUCUGCUCGGAUGAGUUGAAACUAAAACUUCAAACUCCUCGACAGGUGCUGAGAGAUGCAGAAAGUGCCAGGUUUGGUUUGAAAGUAGAGGUGAAAACAAGCAGCUCACAGAAUAUCGAGGGGUCAUCAACUAGUGCUGGGGAAUCAUCUAGCAUGGACAUUGACAAAGCUGAUUCUUCUGUGCCAAAGAAACAAUUAACUGGCAUCUAUGAUUUAAUUGCUGUCUUGACACACAAGGGAAGAAGUGCAGAUUCUGGCCACUACGUUGGCUGGGUUAAGCAAGAUGAUGGAAAAUGGAUUGAGUUUGAUGACGACAACCCAAGCAUACGGAAGGAGGAAGAGAUUUUGAAACUAUCUGGUGGAGGCGACUGGCACAUGGCAUAUAUCUGCCUUUACAAAGCUCGUGUUAUCUGAACCUGAGUUGAUAAGUUCUCAGCCGAAUUUGCUUUAUAUUUCCAAAGUUGUGUGCAUUCCUUGCCUGUUUUUGUGUGCCACAUGAGCGGAUGUAUUAAAGUAUUGAUGAAUUUUCCAGUUUGGUUCAAAUGAAGUGAUCAGUGUCCAUUCUGAUGUUCCUUGUCUACUAGAAUAUUUAUCAGCACUCAACAAAUAUGGAGAAAGAUUUGUUUGAUUUUUUAUUUAAACAUUAUUUAUUUCCUGGAAUA